CCAAGGGUAUGGCUGUUCGCCAUUUAAAGUGGUACGCGAGCUGGGUUUAGAACGUCGUGAGACAGUUCGGUCCCUAUCUGCCGUGGGCGCUGGAGAACUGAGGGGGGCUGCUCCUAGUACGAGAGGACCGGAGUGGACGCAUCACUGGUGUUCGGGUUGUCAUGCCAAUGGCACUGCCCGGUAGCUAAAUGCGGAAGAGAUAAGUGCUGAAAGCAUCUAAGCACGAAACUUGCCCCGAGAUGAGUUCUCCCUGAGACUUAAAGUCUCCUGAAGGAACGUUGAAGACGACGACGUUGAUAGGCCGGGUGUGUAAGCGCAGCGAUGCGUUGAGCUAACCGGUACUAAUGAACCGUGAGGCUUAACCUUACAACGCCGAAG
rnacentral:rRNA from 2 species